rnacentral:tRNA from 1 species
GGCUAGGAGCAACGUGGCAUAGUGGUUAAGUGCUUGCACUGCCACUCACAUGGUCAGGAGUUCAAGCCCCCUGUGGGUCA